UUAUUUUUGAUGCUCUUUCGGAAAAUAAAGAAAAAAUUGAGAAAUUCUAAAAUUAGAUUUUUGAUGACGUCACACUUCACCACUCUAUAAGACGGGACACAGAUCAUGUGAAUGCAUUAGGAAAGAAAUUUGUUGAUUGAUUGAUAAGUUUGCCUCGAGUACAAAGGAUCAAAUGACGAACAGGCAGAUAAUUUCUAUUAUAUCUUUUGUUUGUUUAUUGUAUUAUAUCGCUUUUUUUUUAGUUGCAGAAGGGUGCUAGGUUACUUUGUUUAAUAGAGAUUUGGCACCCUUCUGCAUCCCAACUGGUCACAAGUGGUGGUAUCUACAUAUACAUGAACUGUGUGUAGUCUCAGAUAUUUUUUUCAUUUUUUAUCGAAAAUAGUUACGACCAUGUUCCAAUAUUUGUUUUGUUUUCUUUAAAUGACAAAUAAUCAACUUGCUUAAAGGUAAUACAAAGUUUUGGUAUGGGGUCAUGAAUUUGGUUCAAACGAACAUAUUGGAAACAUGUGCGAUCCUACAAUGUUCAGUAAUCGUCGCGGUAGAAAUCAAGUCCGAAGUUAUGAAAUUUUAAAUAAUACACUCUUUCUGUUGUAUAGCUCCCUCUCAAGGUCAAGAUAUUAAAUAAGCUAUAAAACAAUAUUUCUUGACUAAAAUUGACCUAUUAGCUAUUUGGGUUUGGAAAUAAUAUAUAUCACAACUACAUAUUCUGAGAUUUUCAUGGUCGCAGCUAUCAUUGUACGGCUGUAGGCGCUAUUUGAAAUUUCUCAAAAUUUACCGGGAGCACCGGUAAAUUUUUAUAUUUAAUUCUUCUCGAAAGCAGAAGCGUUUUAGGGGCUAAAUUUUCUAGUGCUUAUAAUACAUCCACAGGGGCAUCCAGAUAUAUCAAAAUUGUAAAGAAUCACUGUCCACCCAAUUUUCAAAAAUCCCAAAACUUUGUAUUACCUUUAACAAUUCAAGCUCCAUAAAGGGCAAUCAGGAUGUAUGAAUAUUGUACAGUGAAUUAGACAGAACAUUCAACAGUUAUCAAUUUCAUUUCUUCUAAGCUAUUGUAGCCUCUUGCUAGUCCAAAAUGGAUGCCUGAUUCAGAGGGUUGAUUAUGCGUGUUCAGAACAAAAAGAGAAAUUGUUUGUGAAGUUUUAUUGUCGAAUUUUCAUUCAAUCUAGGUUGAUUUUGAUAUUUUGCUAAUUACAUUGACGUUGAAUCAUGAACUGUUCUGAAGAAUUUUCUAUUUGUAUCAAUCCCAUUUUAUUGAUCAUCUCUUGUAUGUGUCUGUCUACGCGGCCUGACACACACUCACAGUAGGGCGCCCUCGCAAAGACGACGGUAACGUGACGCAAAAAAACAAUCUGCGCAUGCGCGAACUAGAAUUUUCUCUGUCUUGUUGAUUUUCAUGACCGUACGUACAUAGCCAUGAUAGCGCUCGUUCCCUAAACACGACGGAAGAGCUGUAUUGCCGUAAUUCUCCGGUCGUUUUUGCGAAAGCGCUCUAGUGACACUUCAAUGCAAGGAGGGUGUAUGCUCUUUUUUAGUAAGAUGUAGGUUUAUUGAUAGAACUGUGUUUGUAAACGUAUUACUACUGCCAUAAGGGCGUAUCUCAUUUUACUGUUUGAUAGAAAUGAGAAUAGAGGUCACUGAUCUGUAUAAAGAUGUAGGUCAUUGACCUGUAUAAAAUGAAGUUCAUUGACCUGUUUAAAGAUGAAGGUCACUGACCUUAUAAAGGUGAAGGUCAGUGACCUGUAUAAAGGUAAAGGUCAUUGACCUGUAUAAAAAGUUUGCAACUACUUUUGAACAAUCAACACAAGGGCUAAUGCAAUUCCCCAGUGUACUGUAAAACCUGUAUAUAAAGACCGCUCUAGGGAAACAUUAAGACUAAGAGUGUUUCUUUAUAGACAGGUUUCAAUGAGAAACCAUAUUCAAGGAAUCAAGGGAAACAUCAAAAAGUGGUCUUUAUAGGCAGGUGGUCUUUAUAGGCAGGUGGUCUUUAGGUACAGGUUUCAAUGAGAAACCAUAUUCGAGGGGAACAUGAUAUGAGGUCUUAGUAGACAAGUGGUCUUUCCCUACAGGUGGUUGCUAAAGCAGGUUUAGAUUUGUCAAAAGUAGUUGCAAUUGUGUGUUAUAUUCAUUGUAUAAAGAUGGGUAGGGGGAGGGGGAGACAGCUUCUUGUUCAUUUUUAUUUCAUUUUUCUUCAAAUAAUUUACACGAUCUUAAUCCGAAGCAUCAUUGCCCUAAUAUGGCAUGGGGUGUGUACAUAAUAUGUAUUUCAUGUUUCUGUGUGUUAUCGAAACAGCGACAUUUCCAAAAUACCUGAUACGACGGCAAAAACUUCUGUGUGAAAAUUCAAGUGAACAUCCUUAUCCUCAUAGAUAUUUGAAUACGAAAUGUUUUGUUCUUCUCUCUCUCUUCAUUUUUUCUUUCUUGUGCAUUGUAACUCGUGGACAAGUCUUUCUGAAUAUCUGAAUGGAACUCUUUAUCUGUUCAUAUGCCUUUAUCUUAACUGCUUUAUGUUUUAAUUUAUGUUAUUGUUAUAUUUUUGCAAUUUGAAUUUUUGAAAAUUUGAAUUAUUUAUUCCUUUGAACAAAGUAGGAGAGUUGCAGAUAUAUUAAAGACAUUACUAAUUGGUAACACGUACAGGAAUGAUUGUAACAUUGUAAAAUUCUCUUUUUUGUAGAAAUUGUAUUCCCCAGAUUAAAGGGGCAUGUACCCUGUAUUCCAGAGGGCAUUAAAAAUACGUACGCGCUGGCGGACGGUGCUAUAGCUGCCUAUUGACACCAACAGAAUACGGCUCUUACGCAGAUGGCAUGUUCCUAUAAUUGCACUGGCGGGAACGUGCCCCUUUAAUGUCUGUACUGAUAGAAAACAUGGAUCGCUCAAACAUUUAAAUAAUCAACCUGAUGUAAUGUUAGUCAUCUUGAGUGUCACCUGUUCGAAAGUUAGGAACAAUACAGUGGCUUAUAACAGUUAUUGUAACUUGUUACCACACGAUUUCAGUAGCUUAUAACAGUUAUCGUAACUUGUUAUCACACAAUUUCAGAAGCUUAUAACAGUUAUUGUAACUAAAUUAUUCAUACCAAUUGUAAAUUUGAUACUUCUUGUGUUUUUUUCUUAACUCAAAAAUGAAGAUGGGCUGGUUGAAUAAGGGCCUUUUUCGAAUACUUUCAGAUAAAUUUGAAAGCUUCAAUGUGUCACACUCUGAGAAAACAUAAAUCCGGACAAAUAAAUUCGUCACAUACUUUAAAAAUGACAAAAUUUGGUAUUAAAGGGUAUGAAUAGUUUAGUCGCUAACUGUAUUCCAUACUGCCUAGGAGUUGGUUUCCUGAAAAUCUUUGUGAUUGUGUUAUAGGUUACGCACUCCAUGUUAUACCAUUCGACCAAUGGCGAUUGUCUAGAAAUGUUUCCAUUUGUAAGUGUUGAUCAAGGGGUAGUAAUUUAUUUUUUAAUGAUUGUCAUUAUUGAAAGCUACUAUUUUAUUGAAGACUGAAUUAAGGGAUGCCAGUUUUCAGGCCAUAGCCUGAAUUCAGGCCCUGGCAAUUUAUUUUCAGACCAUAGUUUAGGCUUUUUUGUGUACAAAAUAGCUCAUUCUAGGUGAUUUUCAGGCCUCUGAUCAAUUCUAAUUGGCAUCCCUGUGGAUUGAAUUGAAUUACAUUGAUAACCGUGAAAGGCAUAGACAUUACAAGGGGAUCUGUCCCCUGUAUCAUAGCACUUGUUAUCAAUAACAAAUGCUCAAUUACUAACAAAUUUGCUCUCGGCCCAUCAGGUGCCAUGAUUUCAGUAGGGGGUUGUUUUGAAUACGUAGAAACAAAUAUUUUUGUUUGGUUUGUCUAAUGCAUUCUUUCCUAUGUUUUGUUGUUGUGUUAAACUCCCCAUUAUCUCUUUUCUUAUUGUAAAUAAAAAUACAAAAUCAGUGAAAAUAAAUAAAGAAAUAUAGAAUUGGUGUCAGGGAGAAAGUGUUGGAACACCAUAUUACUUUAUUAAAUGCAAACAGUUAUUGUUUACAUGCUCAUACGUAAAGGCACAUGUAAUUCCAUUAUAUUAAAACAUUUUUAAAGUAAAACAAA